rnacentral:rRNA from 1 species
GACGAACGCUGGCGGCGUGCUUAACACAUGCAAGUCGAACGGAAAGGCCCUGCUUUUGUGGUGUUCUCGAGUCGCGAACGGGUGAGUAACACGUGAGUAACCUGCCCUUCACUUUGGUAUAACUUCAGGACACUGGCUCUAAUACCGGAUAGGAGCUCCUGCUGCAUGGUGUGGGUUGGAAAUUUUCGGCGGUUGGGGAUGGACUCGCGGCUUAUCUGCUUGUUGGUGGGGUAGUGGCUUACCAAGGCUUUGACGGGUAGCCGGCCUGAGUGGGGGACCGGCAACAUGGGGACUGAGAUACGGCCAAGACUCCUACGGGAGGCAGCAGGGGGGAAUAUUGCAAAAUGGGCGGAAGCCUGAUGCAGCAACGCCGCGUGCGGGAUGACGGCCUUCGGGUUGUAAACCGCUUUCGCCGGUGACGAAGCGUGAGUGGCGGUAAUGGGUAAAGAAGCACCGGCUAACUACGUG